rnacentral:rRNA from 1 species
UGGGUCCAACCUCCCACCCGUGUUUAUUUUACCUUGUUGCUUCGGCGGGCCCGCCUUAACUGGCCGCCGGGGGGCUCACGCCCCCGGGCCCGCGCCCGCCGAAGACACCCUCGAACUCUGUCUGAAGAUUGUAGUCUGAGUGAAAAUAUAAAUUAUUUAAAACUUUCAACAACGGAUCUCUUGGUUCCGGCAUCGAUGAAGAACGCAGCGAAAUGCGAUACGUAAUGUGAAUUGCAAAUUCAGUGAAUCAUCGAGUCUUUGAACGCACAUUGCGCCCCCUGGUAUUCCGGGGGGCAUGCCUGUCCGAGCGUCAUUGCUGCCCUCAAGCACGGCUUGUGUGUUGGGCCCCGUCCUCCGAUCCCGGGGGACGGGCCCGAAAGGCAGCGGCGGCACCGCGUCCGGUCCUCGAGCGUAUGGGGCUUUGUCACCCGCUCUGUAGGCCCGGCCGGCGCUUGCCGAUCAUCCCAAAUUUUUAUCCAGGUUGACCUCGGAUCAGGUAGGGAUACCCGCUGAACUUAAGCAUAUCAAUAAAAGAAAAGCAAAAAAGAG